GCCCAGCAUCAUCGGCAUCAUCAUAAUCAAUAUAAUCAAUUCUGAUUUGGAGAGUUUGCCACCUGUUGUCAAUGUUUCAGUGUCAGCACGCGUCCAGAAAGACAAGAGCGCCUUGUCUUCAGAAGAAAUCCAUGGUUUGGUGAGCUUGAGAGGCACAUUUAGGCAGCAAAGGAGACAUUGUGGAUUACAGACAUGUUUCAUGUGUUCCAUGUGCAGUUGCAUGAGGAUGAAGAUGAUAUUCAUUCAUGAGAUGUGUUUUUGCAGACAUAACAUCCAGAGCACCAAUGUCCCAGCGCUCAGGCCUAAAACCUGUUUCUGAGGGUUGGUUUCUCUCUUUGGUUAUCUAGCUGUAUGAGUUUUAACACUUUUCAUAAAGCUAGAUAACCGAAAGUAGAAAUAAUUCUCGAAAUCUGUUGAGAACAGCAAGAGAGCACCCACUUUUUCCUCAGAGUUUUAUUUCCAUCCACAUUAUGGCCCAAAAAAGUAACAACAACAAGGACAGAGCCAUCCGAGAGAGAGCGAGAGAGAGAGAUACUCGGAGGAACAUUGCUAUAUCUUCCCCUCUCCUCCUACCCAGAAACCCCCAGUGCCAUCUGUACCCCUGUGGGGUGCGGGAGAAUCUGUGCCAGUGCCAGCGGCGACAAAACCCUCGUCAGCGUCCGGGACGGCACAGGGAGGAAGGGAGGCCAUCUUGAAGGAGAUCUUACACAAGAAGCUAAGAUGGCUGGGCUGGCACAUGAGAUGUGGACUGAACUUUGGAUUCACACUUUGCUGAAAAUUUGUCGAAAACGACUAAUUAUUCAUCCAGAGAUAACAAUGGGAGCCUCAAGCACCUGAAAGUUUAAGAGGCACAUAAAAUCAUGUUGAUAAUGAUGAUGUGUGUGUGUAUAUGAGAACAAAAUUAAUUUGUCUUUAAUGAAAAAGAAUUGUACUUUAUAGUAUUUUCAGUCAAAUUAAAUUAAUGUUCUUUCUUUCAUAGCUAUAAAUGAGAAAAAUUAUGUGAAUUUUAUAUACACAUAAUUUUGCAUUUUUACAUGUAUGCAUUUCCUGUGUUUUUAUGUUUGUGUGUUUUUUUUGUUUUGUUUUUUGUUUGAAUUUUUAUUUUCAUUUAAUUUUAUUUCUAAAUAAAAUGUUUCUAUAUUGUAUUAUAAUGAUGAAUAACCAGUGAUUCAUUAGUGAAUUAUAUGAAUCAGCUAUUUGCAUUUAAUUGACGUCAGAUUGUGUCACACCUGGCAACCCAGUGAAGAGUUAAUUACUGUGACUUAAUGAGCUUUAUUUCUAGGCUACAUAUAAAACACUUGUAGCAUACAUUUUUUAGAAUUAUAAUCAUCUUGAAGAUCAGACUUCUGUGUCAAAAAGACUGUGUUUCAGUUACAAUGUUUUGAAUAAAAUAUUUUAAUAAGAACCCAUGAAAUAUAAUAAAUGACUUAAGCACGA